GCACUGUUUACAAAGGAAUGCUAACAGAUGGAACUGUUGUAGCUGUGAAAAAAUCAGGAAAGAUGGAUCAAGAUCAAAGCCAAACUGUGCACUUCAUAAAUGAACUUGUGAUUCUUUCUCAGAUUAAUCACAAGCAUGUGGUCAAACUAUUAGGCUGUUGUUUAGAAACCCAAGUUCCUCUUAUAGUUUAUGAAUUUAUUUCCAACGGC
rnacentral:misc_RNA from 1 species